rnacentral:rRNA from 1 species
GACGAACGCUGGCGGCGUGCCUAACACAUGCAAGUCGAGCGGGGUUGAAGCGAGGGGUAACUCGAGUUUCUACCUAGCGGCGGACGGGUGAGUAACGCGUGGGCAACCUGCCUCAAGGACUGGGAUAACAGCUCGAAAGGGCUGCUAAUACCGGAUAAGCCUAUGGCCUCGCAUGGGGCCAUGAGCAAAGGGGAAACCUGCCUUGAGAUGGGCCCGCGUCCCAUCAGCUAGUUGGUGAGGUGAAGGCUCACCAAGGCGACGACGGGUAGCCGGCCUGAGAGGGUGACCGGCCACACUGGGACUGAGACACGGCCCAGACUCCUACGGGGGGCAGCAGUGGGGAAUCUUGCACAAUGGGCGAAAGCCUGAUGCAGCGACGCCGCGUGAGCGAAGAAGGCCUUCGGUUGUAAAGCUCUGUCUGGAGGGACGAAGGAAGUGACGGUACCUCCGGACGGAAGCCACGGCUAACUAACGUG